CAGGCCUAACACAUGCAAGUCGAACGGUAACAGAAAGCAGCUUGCUGCUUUGCUGACGAGUGGCGGACGGGUGAGUAAUGUCUGGGAAACUGCCUGAUGGAGGGGGAUAACUACUGGAAACGGUAGCUAAUACCGCAUAACGUCGCAAGACCAAAGAGGGGGACCUUCGGGCCUCUUGCCAUCGGAUGUGCCCAGAUGGGAUUAGCUAGUAGGUGGGGUAACGGCUCACCUAGGCGACGAUCCCUAGCUGGUCUGAGAGGAUGACCAGCCACACUGGGAACUGAGACACGGUCCAGACUCCUACGGGAGGCAACANUGGGGAAUAUUGCACAAUGGGCGCAAGCCUGAUGCAACCAUGCCGCGUGUUAUGAAGAAAGGCUUCCGGUUUGUUAAAGUACUU
rnacentral:rRNA from 1 species